GCUCAAGGGCAAGGGGGAUCAAAGUUGGAUCGGGGAAAAGAGAAAGCAAUAGAGUAAUCAACCCACAACCGUUCCAAGAUACCGAGAUUUUGUUCGUCAGCUAUCGGACUCGGGAGUGUCAAAGUCGAAGUCGUCCACACUAUCUAAGCCCUUUUGGUACUCUUUUAGUUGAAUUUUGAUAAUGGCAUGUAUAGGGCUGACCCUUGUUGUUAAUUAAGUAUCUUUUGGUAAUGUAUAUUCGUAUAGCCAUGCGAAAAUGGCUCGUAUAUUUUGAAGUAUAUCAUUACGGUCUUAUGAUAUGGUUAUUAAGUGGUGUGGAAA